rnacentral:tRNA from 1 species
CGGGGUGUAUUUCAACAGAAGAUUGCUCGCUUCGGGAGCGAGUGGCUGGGGGUGCAAGUCCCUCCACCCCGA